GCCCACUGCCUUCAACCGAUCAUCAAUGAACCACAUCAAAUCGCUAGAAUCUUUGAUGCUCAUAUCCUGCAACCCCUUCUCCCCAGCCUGGCACUGGUACAUGAGGUUUUCCAUCUCUAUUCUCCUGUUCUUCUUCUGUUGUUUUACCAGCUGGUCCUUAGCUUUGGCCACCCUCUGCCUCAUAUAGUUUUAUUGGUUUAACCUCUUCUUGGUCUGGUCGUUCUCUGGCUUGCACUUGAACUCCCUGAUCAUCCGUACUGUCUCCAUUGGAGUUUAAAGCUUUUAAAUUUCCAUGAAUGUGUAAACAGUGGGAGAAGAGCUUUUCCAUUGAUUUUCUAUUCAAGUUGGGCAUAGAGAAGUGUUUUUUAAUUUUUUCUGCAUGAAAUGUUGAAAUUGUUUCUAUGUGUAGAUUACAAUAUAUUAUCUCCCAAAGUCAUGUGUCUCCUAAAAAGCACUCUCAUGUAGGUGAUUUUUUUUUAUUUUUUUUUUUGAGAAUUAAUGGAGUUAUUAUGUUUGGAGUCGGAGUUCCUUUUUUUUACUUUAUUUGUUCUAUAGACACCACAAAAUGAGGGCAUGGCAAAUUUUUCCUGUUGCUUAAUUCAUUCAUCAACCAAAAAGGUUUUUCCAAUCUCUUAAAUCUAAAAAGGAGUGCUCUACCAUUCUUGGUUGAGUUAGAAAACGAUGUUCUACUCUAAUAAUAUUCUGUUAGGCAACCAUUUGGUCUCUUUCCCUUUUAGGUUUCUUUCUUUUUUGUGUUCUUGAAUAGUAUCUCUACUUUAAUGCAACUAGUAAUGAGAAAUUGUAAUAUUUGUAGGGAACAUUGGCUGAUAUAUUUCUAAGGGGCACCAUUUUAAUGACAAAUACUUGAGGGAUGACAUCUUUGGUAAGAGCUCCUUCCUUGCCUCCAUUUGUGUCAUUUUCCCAAGUGUUAUCAUAAUUGUCUUGCUUGAUAGAGCUCCCAUUACAUAUUCUUGGCCAUAACUGGCAUUAGCUUUUCACUCUAAAAAUAAUAAAAUUUAGUAGCAUAAUCACUAGGAAAGAAAACUACACUUACAUUAAAUAGACUAGUUGCAGAAUGUGCAUCAACUGUACUAAAUGGAUCAUCCAAGAGAUAUCCAUUUGCAUCUUAAUAUAAUGCACGUGCCAGUUGAACUCGUUGCUUCUGUCCACAACUCAAAUUAACAUCUCUUUCUCUUAUUCUAGUGAGAUCACUGAAUGGAAGCAUCUCGAUGUCCUUCACUAGGGAAUAGUUUUCAAUCACUUCCCUGUAUCUGUAUGGAUCCAUGGCAGACCCAAAAAGAAUAUUUUCUUGUGUAGUCUCUAUAAUGAUCCAUGCUGCCUGAGAGACAUAAGCCUUCUUUCCAUAUACUUAAACCUAGCAAAUAUGAGUCUAGAAACCAUAUUACUUUUCUAUACUAUCAAUCAACCAUUCUGCUUAAUCAAUGUAUUUACAAAUUUCCUAUCCGACCUGGACCCUUGGGAAAACUUCAAAUUAUCUUCUUUGAAUUUUUAGAUAAAAAAAGACGUCCUAAUAAUUUGUCACUCUUGUCAGCUACUAUAUAUGGUUGUGUCCUUCCUCAUUCUUUGAUUUCAUUUUCUUUCCUACCUAGAUUUUAAAAAGUUUUAUUAAAAAAACCCUUUUCUUUAGUUUAUUCAAAAUAUUUUAUAUUUAAUAGUGAAAAGUAUUAUUAACACUAAAAAAAUAAUUAAUUAGAUUUAUAUUAGCAAAAGAAACCUCUAAAUUAAGUUUACGUUUGGAAGUACUUUUUGUUUUUCAAAUUAGAAAUUUUAUAUAAAAAUAGAAUAUUGUGUAUGAAACAUAGAUAUUUAUCUUUUCUUUUUUUUUUUUUUUAAAGAAAAAUGAUUUUUAGAAAUUUUAGAAUUUGAGAUAGUAAAUUUUUUUAUAUCUUAAUUUUUAAAAUUUUUUUUUUUUUCAAGAUAAUUUUUUUUUUUUAAAGAAAAAAAAAGUUUUAGAAAUUUUAGAGUUUGAGAUAGUAAAUUUUUUUAUAUCUUACUUUUUAAAUUUAUUAUUUUUUUCAAGGUAAUUCUUUAAGAGUUUUUUUUUUAUCUUAUAUAAAUAUUAUUACUAUUUUCUAGUUUUAAAAAUAAAAAUAAAAAGUGUACUAUAGAAACAAACAUUAAUUUGUUAUAAAAAAAAUAUAAAUUAAAUAUAUCCAUUUUUCUCACAUCUUUAAACACACUCCAUUUUGCUAAACCCCUAAAGAAAGUUUCCAAUUUUUAGCAUAAAUAAUUGUGAGCUACCUAUAUUGAAAUUGACUUCUUAUAGGGGUUCUGUUUUCCGUACAUCCACCGUACUUGGACUCCCUCAAACACAUCUACCACCUCCUCAUGACCAUCAAUGCCCCACCAUGGAUCCCAUUUUCUCAAACAUAUCUCUACUUUCCAUACCAUUCUCUCUUCCAAUUUUCUUCUACUCCUCUUAUAUCUAAGAAUGGUUGGUGUAGACAUAGAGAAGGAUUGGUAAUCCUUAUUAGAAUUUGUUUUCCAUUACUAUUUUGAGUUGGAAUCAUCCUCUUUUAGACCAUGUUUUAGAUUUUUAUUUGGUUCUAGCUUUAUUACCAUUUUUUUAUGUUAUGAUUUGUGUGAAAAAAUAUUUGUAAAAAUGCUUCCUUGAAAAUAAAUUUGGAGCUAUUUAGAAUAUUUAUAAUUAUAAUAAAUUUGUGAAAAUAAAUUAUUAUAAUAACCAAAAAUAGUGUCCCUUUUGUAAACUUCUGCUUUGCUUAAUGGAUACGUGGAGAACGUAAUGGAAAAAAAUUAUUACAGCCAAUCCAGAACCCCCUAAAUAUAAUUCCAAUUUCCAAUAGAAAAUGAGGAAGAAAACCAAAUCCCAUUCUCUUUAUAACUUAUACUACUCUCUUGUAAGGAUGAUAAUGCCCAUCUGUCUUGCUAUUAAUUAUAUAUUGAUUAUGCUAUUAAUUAUGUUUGUUGUACUGUUAAGAUAAAUUGGAAUUCAAAAAACCUUCCUUUGUCAAUGUUGCACAUUCGAUGAGGUCUAUUACUAUUAGACGAUGCCUAAUUGAAUAUUUUAAUGGACUAUUGAUGUUGAUAUUCUCUUGUCCCAAACUUGAUUUGUUUUUCUAUUUUCUUUUGGGAUAUACUAAAGAUUUAAUGGAUUAUUGAUGUUAAUGGUCUCUUGUCCCGUAUUUGAUUAAUCUCUUGCUUUGUGUUUUAACUAUUGAUAAUAAUUUUUUUGUAAUUAUUCUUAGGGUCACAUAUGUCAAUUGGUAUACACAUUUGUUUUCCUAUUAUAUUUUUAUUGUCAUUUCUUUAAUUACCAUCUUAUGUAUGCAGAUGCCCUCAUUUCAGUCUAGUAAGAGUUGUAGAUCACAGUUUGACGAUUCUCAUAUGUUCUCAUCUCAUGAUAAGUAAUUUCUUCCUCCAUAGUAAUAGAAGAUAAUAGUUUUAUACAUAAACUAUUUCAAUAUAACAAAUCAAAUUAUUACAUCAUCACCAAUGUUGUUACAUGGAGAAGUUAUGUUUGUUAUUGUUGUAUGAAGAAGAAGCAUGUAAUUUGUGAACUCAAUAAAUCAAAUUAUUAUAUGAUUAUCAUCAAUGUUGUCAUUAUUAUUGUUGUUGUUGCAUAGAGAAGUUGUUAUUGUUAUAUGUUUGGACUAAACAAUUCAAAUUAUUACUAAUAUAAUUAUCACCAUUGAUCAUCAAUGUUAUUGUUAUUGUUGUUGUUGUUGUUACAUGGAGAAAUUGUUAUUGUUGUAUGGAGAAGUUGUUAUUGUUGUUAGAGAAGUUGUUGUUGGAUGGAGGGAUGGUAGAGAGCUUUUUUUGUGUAGGGUUAAUUAUUAUAUUUUGGUUAUAAUUUUGGAAUUGGAAAUAAAGGCAAGUUUUAGAAUGGUUGUUAUUAUGACAUUCAACCAAUGAUUUGUAGGUUUCUAUUUCCUUGGUUUUGCUCUAUUAAUUUUUAGUUUAAUACUCUUUUUUUCCUUAUGGAAUGUUAUUAGUCAACUAAAUUUGAUAAUAUAGGAAAGUUGUAAGAAGAAAUUAAGGCAUUUACAAGUGGUUGAUAUUAAAUGUCUUAUAUUACUAGAUAUGAUGAUUUAUGAUUGAAACUAAUUAUAAACCAUACCUAUUGGUAUCUUCAUAUAUUUAUUAAUGAGAAAUGAGUUUCAUAUGUUAGACAUGAUAAGAAAAUAUUAUAUUACAUUCCAUAUUGUAGAAUUUAUACAAUUGAAAGUCUAACUUGUUUCCUCUAACUUAAUAAUGAACUAAAAGUCUAUUAAUAUUUUAUAAACAAGUGUCAAAUUAAACAAUUUUUCAUCUUCAUUAAUUGAAGCAUAACAUCUCAUUAAAUACCAAGUUAUUCUUAUUUGCACUUCUUUCAUGGGCCAUUUAUAGAUUUAAAUUUAACUUUCAUUGCAUGUAUAUUAACUAAUCAUAAUUUGUUUCUUCUAUUAAUUCUUUUUUUAAAUGUAUACAGGUAAAAGAUUUCAAGUUCAGGAGUGGAUAUGCAACCAACAGAAAUACUUUUGGCUAGAAAUACUUAUGGCUUCUUCUUCUUCUUCUUGUAAUAUUAUUUUUGAUAAGGAAUUUAGAGACCUUGUUUUUUGGUACAUGUGUACUUGUUUUAUGUUGAAGUUGGAAAAUAUGCUUGUAAAUAUUUUAAUACAUUUACAAAUUUGCAUAUUAAUUAACUAUAUAGACAUUAGUUCUUUAUCAUGAUAUUAUUC
rnacentral:lncRNA from 1 species